ensembl:lncRNA
UUUUUUUUUUUGCUUGUCUUUUUUUCCUCUUUAUUUUUAAAAUGAAACAGUGGAGUGAAGCGGUUUGUGGCAAAAAAGAAACCAAAACAAGAAGAAAAACAACCUCGCUGGAAGAGCAACGGAGCCCAUGUCCAUCCAAAACCCCAACUCCACAUCCAAGCCACCAAACUGCCUCACGCGAGGGGACAAGGCAAGAACACGGAUGAGAAGAGGAAAGGAGGAGAGGGAGGGGGAGAAAAGGCGAAAAGAAAUCAGCUGAAAAGAGGAAAAAACAAUUCUCAACACAGGAAAGUACAAUUUGAGCUUCGGAAUAGCCUCAAGUUGCAUUGGGGCGGCUGCCGGGAGGAGCAGCACCCGCGGGUGCAGCCGGCCGGUGGAUGAGGAAUGGGUGCUCCUGGUGUUGGGAUGCAGAGUGAUGCAGCACCCCCAAUUCAGCUUGAUCCCCUGCCUCACGCUGCCACCGACCCCAAAAAGCCACUGGAAAAAGAAGGAAAACCAGCCCAUAGCCUGCGAUUCCCGCAGCAAAAGCCAGGCUUGGACCAGCGGGCCUGGGGAACGAGGAGGAUGGAGGCGCACUGCUAUGGAAGUACUGCUAUGGAAGAAGUAAAUAGCCAAGUUCUAAAGGAAAAAAGGAAGUCAUGGAAGAUUGAGCACUCAAAAGAACAUCAGUCACAACCAAACAUUUUGGACUGCUGAGGUCUGGAGCUUUUACAACUAACGACCACUUUCAAGUGAAAAAGAAAGCCCAUAAAUUCUAUUCUUAAAGAACAUUUUUCUUUGGAAAAAGAGAGUAUUUAUUUUUUCUUUUUUUUGUUUUGUUUUUUACUUUUUUUCCCCUAAACUACAGCCUGUGGAGUUGCCACUACCUAGAUUUCCAUCUAUUGUCGCUAAGAGGUAGAUAAAACAAAAAUGAAUUGGUUAUAUAUAAGGUCGUGCCCCCCAGGUUUGAUGUGAGGUGAAGCUGAGGGACUCCAUGGGCACCGGCCCCUUGGGGCUCCCGGGAAUAGCUCAGACUUCCCAGGAAGUUUAGUCUCCUCUGGAGCCACCCUAAAAUCAACUGGGCCGCAGGAGGUGGCAGUGGCAUGGGGGGUGUCAUGGGUUUGGGGCAGUUUUCCUCCUGAAGUCAAGGAAUUUGAUCCCGAGAUGAAUCUGGAUGUGCUUUGAAUGAACCAACAUGAUGAACUGCUGGGUAACGAACGCUCACACCAAUUACAGCCAUCUGAAGGAUUACUUUCUGCCCCGAUUCCGGUCAAUUCGAAUGAUUUCCCAGGAUGAUCUGCCAACAGUGAUGGGAGAGCCUGGCAAGCCCAGUGCCAUUCCCUGCCUCCCGUCCUGCCGGAGCCAUGCUCCGGAUCAGCCCUUCCCCACUCUGAAACACCAGCAAACUCCUUCCCUCUGGAUUUGGUGCUGCUUUGCUGAGCCCAUUUCCCAAACUGGACUAAACCGAAACCAAAUGGCUUCAGUCCUGUUGUACAUUCUGACUCCUGGGGCUGAAAUUAUUGAUUAAAUUGGGGUUUUCUAAAGCAAAAAACAUCCCUUUCGGUGUCAGCUCGUGCUGAUCCGCAGCACCCGAAUGCUUUCCAAAGUUCAUAACCCACUGCUCUGCCACACCAGUGGCGACAGGCUGCUGCCGCGGUCCAGCAGAGCAUCCCACUGCCAUGGUCCAGCAGAGCAUUCCGCUGCUGUGGGCCAGCAGAGCAUCCCACCACCACCAAUCCGAGGUAUUCAAACAACUAAAGCAUCCUGUAAUGCUCAGUAAAGCAGCAGGGAUCAAACGCUCACCCAAGUCAACCCAGGGCUGACUUAUCAAGGGGUCCAACUCACCCACCACCAUCCUGGCAUCCUCCAGAGCCUUCCUCAUCAGCUCUCCUCUUCCACCACACAGCUCUCCCUAACAGCCAGGACACCAAAACUGCCUCCCCACCAGCAAGAAGGGUCUCUGCUGAGAUCGGGGGUGCUGGAGGCCAGAUCCUGCCAUGGGGGCAAUGAGGGAUCCCCCCGUCCAUCCCUCGGGGCCCCGCAUCAGCUCUGAGGUAGUUUGCACGUGUGUGUUUCCAGCUCGCAGCACCUGCACAGUCUCCGUACUAAAACUCAUGCUUUCAGAGCCUCGGGCUGGUUUUGCUCCGCUCUGGAUCUCAUCCACCAUCACCAAUGAGUUAACAAAAAGACAUGAAAUGAAAAUAAACACAAGCAAAAAGAAGAAGAAAGGCUGAUUCAACCCAAUGGGGACAUCAUCUCUCUCCUCCCCGAUGCGAAGCCACCAUUGGGCAUCCCAAAUCCAUUCUAGCCUUGAAUAGUUAUUGCCAAGCACUCACUCCGAGGCUGCUUCCCAAGCGCCGUGUACCCGGCCUGUGGCCACCCACCUCCAACCAGCAGAUCGAAGCCUCCUGAGCUCAAGCACUGCUAAUUCCUGCUGCUCCCAGAGCAAAUCCAUAGCCAAAUCCAGCCCUUCAACCGGGAAAGACUCAGCACAGCACAGCCCGAGCCCAGCACGUUAUGAGGAUGCCGAAAUACGUCCGUGCCCUCAGGAGAAUACAUAUUUCACAGGAUCACACCGAUUUCAUCCAAAUGAAACAAAAAAAAAAGCUACAACAGAAAAUGAAAGAAAUUUAAAACGACCAAAAGAAAACCAAAAACGGAAAGAAAAAAAACAACCCUCAGUUACUAAAUUCUCCCUCAAAUAAGAAAGUUCCAAAACUAUCAAAGCCUAUGUUGUGUGGAGCAGCAGGGGACAGGGAGGGAAGACCAAUAGAAAGGACUUAAAUUAAAGAAGUUUUCAACUGUCUUAGAGCAAGUCUGUGUUUCUGAUCUUUGCUUUUCCAGAGCCUAGAAACCAUUCCCAAUAGCAGGAGCUUCACAAAGGUUUUUCUUUCUGGCACUGAUUUUCUUUCUAACUUUCACUGCUUGCUUCUUUUUGUUCUGCACUAAAGCAAUAAAACCAAACCCAAAACCUAAGGCCCAGGAAACAGAAAAUGAAGCUUCAAGGCAGUUUCUUUCCAAUAUUUGCAAUGGAUUUUCCUUGAAGUUUGACUCCCUUCCCCACACAUCAGCCGGGUCAGGCUGCAGGGAGGGAGCAUGGUCCAGGCAGUGCUGCCAAGCCCAUGGAUGCUCUUAACGACUAAGAUAGCAUUUAAAGCUUGGAAGAACCAUUGGAUUUGGGGAUUCUCGUGUUCCUUUUCCUCUCUUUUUCUCCAGCUGCAUGGCAAAAGAAGCCUCUGAUAGCACUGAAAUCAGGCAAACCCCCAAAUCCAAGUCUCUCCAUCACAUGGUGGUGGCUCGUUCCAGCAAUGCUUUGCACAGGAUACAGCACCAGGAAGCACCAAGUGCUUCCAAGACAUGAAUUUGCCCAUCCUCACUUGAGCCCUAUGAGGUAGGAGAGCAGCAUCACCCCCAGAGGGGCGAAACUGAGGCACAGAGAAGCACUUUGUUUCCUUUUUAAUCCUGUUCCCAACCCUGCCCGGAUGCUCCCUAUGUCCACUUAAUAGCUCUGCAUCCUCCUUACCCCAUGGAGAAGGAUGUUUCAGGACCCCACCAUGCACCCCAGAACGGGGCAAGGGCUGGGUCUGCUCCUUGCUCAUGGGGAAGAAAAAUAAUUGCAAUGAAAAAUAGAAUUAAAACCACAUUAUUUCUGUUGUGAUAAAAACAAGGCAGAGAAGAACCAACGGCACCGCUCACCGCUCCAUGUGGAAAUUGCCCCUCAAUUACCUCUUAUUCUGGAACAAAGACAGCAGCUAGAGGAGCUACUGUGGGACCAAGAAUCCUUCCUGCUUGCUUUUGGGGUUCACUCCCAUGAUUUUUUCCUGGUUAUUCACUCCAUACAUGAUCCAGGGCUCACUCAAGUCUCCUGCCACCCAUCUCACUACCCAGCUGUGCCGGGGAUCCCAGUUUAUCCCACUUUUGCUCUUCCCAGCUCAGCUUGGCUCCAGAGAAAGAUGGGAGAAGCUCAGAAGCGUCUUCCUUACUGCAAAUCACUUUAUAUAUAUAAAUAAUUUCCCUUAGGAAAACAAAGAGAUUCCCCCCCAAUAAAAGCACCAAUCGCUCCUACGUUAUGGCAGCGGGACCAGCUUGGGGGUGGGAAAAGCAUCCAAAGUUUCCCUGAAUCAUCAGAUAUUAGGUCAUCUUCUCACUGCAACAACCAGACUGACAGGACUGGGGGUGCUCGGGGUGGGAUUUGGGGUGUUUUGUUGGGGUUUUGUGAGUUUUUCCCUUAUCCCUCAAUGAUACAGUUUGAAGCAGUUAUGCGAAACGCUUGCUGUUGGAAAAACAGUUCUCAUCCCGAUGUCUGAAUACACUGUUCUGUGCAAGGCUGGAAUUAAAGGGAAAAAAAAAAAAGGGAAGUAGAGAGCCAGAGAUUUCAAGCAAUAAAACUGUUUUUCCUAGGAGAAAUGCCAGGCUUCCUAAAAACCAGAGACACCAAUGAGGAAAACCCCACGGAAGCCCCUCUCCCACCACAUCAAGGGGCAGGAGCUGCUGGCAGGGUGCUGCCAAGCCUGAAUUUUGCUCUGUUGAGCCCAAAUUGAUGGGAAAAAUGAUAAAGAAAAGGGUCAGCACUUCCCUACUGGAGCUGGGCUGCAUCCCACGCUCCUCUCGCACCCCAAACCUCUCAGUGGGGAGAGGUGCGGGCGCUGGGGUGAGGACGGCAGCACUCACUGCUCCCAAAUCCACUUGGUCAUCACUAAAUCCUUUAUAUUUAACCCCCAUUCAAGCAAGGGCCGUUUUCUUGCAGGUGAAAAAGAGCAAGAUGGGACUUUAAAAACCCCAUAAACCAACCCCGGGAACCUUUUAGAGCAGGCAAAGAGGUUCAGGCCCAUCAGUCCUCGGGGUUGGAUCCAUCUUUCCUCUCCUCUAUGCAUCUAUAUUAAAAAAUGUGGCUCCCGUUCAUUUAUAUUUCUCCUCUUUUUUUUUUUUUUUGCCUUUUUUUUUUUUUUUUUUUUUUUUUCUUUUUUAUCCUUUUUUUUAAACUCAUUUAAUCCUCGGUAAAACGGAGGCAAAUCUCUGUCAAAUACUUAACAGCAUCAUAGUGGAGAAGAUGGUUUUGACGCUGCCUCCGUGGCAACCCAGGAGGCCGAUUCGUUUGGGUUCUGGGAUAUAUAUAUAAAGAUAUAUAAAUAUAUAUAUAUAUAUAUAUGGCUUCCAAGCGUUUGUAUAAAAAUUGCCUGAGCUGGUGUGGUUUCAAUACCAGCAAACCCCUUGUACCCCACUUUGCAUAGUCAAUGCUGCCUAGGAGUCCAUCCUUGCAUCCCGGGAGUGGAAGAUUUCUGAUCCCAAAGCUCUUUCAUACUUUGAUUUCUCGCUGGAGUUGGCUUGAGAAAAGGCCUUUUG